rnacentral:lncRNA from 1 species
AGUUAGUUCAUGAUCUGUUUAAACCAGAUAGGUCCUGGUGGUGACAGUCACAUUCAGGACCUGCCCACACUCCUCCCCCUCCACAAGUGUGACAGGCCGCGUGGUCAGCGAGUUGCCCAGGUCAGUGCCAUUGCGUGCCCAGCCGCUGAGGAGGCCCCUGGUGCGUGGGAUGAGGAGGUGCUCAGCGAAGUCUUUCUCAGGGGUGCACACGGGGAGCCCCGCACCUGGGCACUGGAUGGGCCACUCCAGCUCCAGCAGUGACAGGUCAUUCUCCUCCGAGUCCGCGUCGUACCGCAUGUGCACAUGGACGUGCGUUAUCUUGAUCAUCAGCGGGUCUUGGCUCGUUCUGUUAAAAUCUGAAAUCAUGAACAAUCGCCAGUUCUUUACAGUCUGAUUUUCAAGGGGACAUAAUGUUCAGAAACGAGCUUCUCAGGGAGCCACGUGAGGAGGGAGAGACCGGCCCUGGAGGACCCACAGGCUCACUGCCCCGUGGUGUGGACACUGUGCCUUUCUGCGGACAGAAAGGCCACUCACAGAUUGCACGAUUGCAACCAAGUGCCACAGCCUUUAAAAACAGUCAAGGCUGUUCUGAAGGAUAUACUCAGGCAGAAGGAGAUAAUUGUGUUAGAGGCCUGAAAGGCAAGGAAAGUGGAAAAUGAGGUAAGUAAAUCAAAGCCAGUGUGAGUGGUAUAAAACCAUAAUAACAAAAAUCGUAAUAUCUAUUUUGUGAAGAUAUACAGAAAGCAAGAAAAGAAUAAAAUACUGGCCAGACAGCAAAUGGACCCAGAAUGAGGUGCUGGGAAUUAGCCUGAGGAGGGAGAAAUAGCUGACUACUUGUGCUAAAUAUGGAUGUUUAUGUGUCAAGAGUGACCAUUAAGUAAACAGAAAGUGAAUGAUGAGGCCAGGCGUGGUGGCUCACACCUGUAAUCCCAGCACUUUGGGAGGCCAAGGCGGGUGGGUCACUUGAGGUCAGGCGUUUGAGACCAUCCUGUCCAACAUGGCGAAACCCUG